rnacentral:rRNA from 1 species
AGUGAACGCUGGCGGCGUGCCUAAUACAUGCAAGUCGAACGGAGUGGCGCACGGGUGAGUAAUAUAUAGCUAAUCUGCCCCUUGCUGGAGGACAACAGUUAGAAAUGACUGCUAAUACUCCAUAGCAAGGGAUGAGACUAUAUCGUAUCAGCUAGUCGGUGGGGUAACGGCCUACCGAGGCUAUGACGCGUAACUGGUCUGAGAGGAUGAUCAGCCACUUUGGAACUUAGACACGGUCGAAGCUCCGACGGGAGGCAGCAGUAGGGAAGAGUGCGCAAGGGGGGAAACCCUGACGCAGCAACGCCGCGUGGAGGUUGAAACUUUUCGGGGCGUAAACUCCGUUUGUUAGGGAAGCGGUACCUAACGAAUAAGCACCGGCUAACUCCGUGCCAGCCGCCGCGGUAAUAC